rnacentral:rRNA from 1 species
AUUGAACGCUGGCGGUAUGCUUAACACAUGCAAGUCGAACGGUAACAGAGGAAAGCUUGCUUUCUUGCUGACGAGUGGCGGACGGGUGAGUAACGCGUGGGAAUCUACCUAGUAGUGGGGGAUAGCCAGAAGAAAUUCUGAAUAAUACCGCAUACGCCCUACGGGGGAAAGAGGCCCUCUUCUUGAAAGGUCUCACUAUUAGAUGAGCCCGCGUUAGAUUAGCUAGAUGGUGAGGUAAGAGCUCACCAUGGCGACGAUCUAUAGCUGGUCUGAGAGGAUGAUCAGCCACAUUGGGACUGAGACACGGCCCAG